rnacentral:lncRNA from 1 species
GGAACCACUGAUCUAGUCCAAACUGCUCAUGGUGCAGAUAAGAACACUGAAGCACCCUCGGGACUUUCCCAGAGUCGUACAUGGUGGGAACACUUUGGACAGGCUGAAGAAGGGAGAACAGGGUGUCCAGGUUCAAUGAAGGCACACAUCUUCUCUUACCAGAGACAUAGACAUGGAGCCUCAGAUGCAACACUCAACACGACGAAGCCCCAAACUAUAGAAGCUGAAAAGUAAUUGAAUCCUCAUUUCCAUCAUCCAGACCAGUUUCAAAAGCUUGAGUCAAGAUUAGAGUUGGAAAACCAAGGUUCAGCAUGAAAAGAUUAACUCUUAAAAAGUGAGGAGAAAUCUUUAAACCGGGUCUGAAGAAAGACGAUGCUGCUUUUCUACUCCACUGGUGAAGAGAAAACAGAAGAUGCCCAUUCAGUUUAACUGCUCUAGUUAGGUGAAAGAAACCCACCUCAAACCAAUUUAGGCAAGAAGUGAAUUUA